rnacentral:lncRNA from 7 species
CCUGACCGCAGGACCGCCAGGUUGUAGCCAUCAUCGCGUGCAGAUAGCAGAGGGAAAAAAAUUGAGAUCCGCUCCGUUGAUUGAGGUCGCAAUCGCACCAUCGCCUAAGCCAACUCAAUGCGUCUGAAGAUCGUGGGCGCGCGCCGCACCUGGCCAUACCCUCGCGCGACGAAGACUGUGGCUGGGCGCUGAGAACAGAGAUCUCAGGCUGGGCGCAGGUCUGGGGCUUCACGGGGUUCCUCGGGUGGUGGUUGUGGUCGUCCUGGUCGAAGUGGUGCACCAGGAUCUCGUUGAUUUCUCGUCGGGGCGUGGAUCCAGGGGUUCUCGGUGGUACUCGGCGAGGAGUUCCUGAUGCGCGUGCUUCGGUUCCUGGAGCUGUGGGCGAUGGGAGGCCAGGGUCCCGCAAUGUACCGUGUGCUCAGUU